UUGUAAAAUCUGGUGCAGUGCUCAUGG
rnacentral:sRNA from 1 species